CCUACGGGAGGCAGCAGUGAGGAAUAUUGGUCAAUGGACGCAAGUCUGAACCAGCCAUGCCGCGUGCAGGAAGACGGCUCUAUGAGUUGUAAACUGCUUUUGUACGAGGGUAAACGCAGAUACGCGUAUCUGUCUGAAAGUAUCUUACGAAUAAGGAUCGGCUAACUCCGUGCCAGCAGCCGCGGUAAUACGGAGGAUUCAAGCGUUAUCCGGAUUUAUUGGGUUUAAAGGGUGCGUAGGUGGGUGGUUAAGUUAGUGGUGAAAUCCCGAGGCUCAACUUCGGAAUUGCCACUGAUACUGUUCGUCUAGAGUAUAGUUGCGGUAGGCGGAAUGUAUGGUGUAGCGGUGAAAUGCUUAGAGAUCAUACAGAACACCGAUUGCGAAGGCAGCUUACCAAGCUACUUCUGACGUUGAGGCACGAAAGCGUGGGGAGCAAACAGGAUUAGAUACCCUAGUAGUC
rnacentral:rRNA from 1 species